GAAAGGCCCUAAAGGAGGAGAGAUGUGUUUACUUUCUUGCUGGCAAAAUCCCAGGCUGUAAUUGCAUGCCUUUGUUUGAUCGGCAGAUUGUCGAAACGCAGAUAACGUUCAGAUGGAAUUAUUUUAUUAAGGCUGCAGUCUUCGGCACGCUCGGUGAUUCAAGAGUAAACUCCACUGAACCAAGAGGGACUUGCUGGUGAAUAAUAAUGCAGGAGAUCACAAUUUUGCAACAUGCCUGGGGCUACUGUGAGCCCAGGGAGUUUUUAAACAAGGGUCGUCUCUCAUCCGCCUGCACAACUGAUGGAUGGAGGAGCCAGCUCGAAAACACAUCCACCGUUUCCUUCAGCAAAGAGAAAAAUGACCUGUUGGGGCUGUUUGGAGGCCGGUCUGAAAAUAGUGCUCAUUACUUAGUCUUAGUCUUUCCUUCCCCGUUUGCAGAUGCUGCUGCCCUUUGUGAUAAGCGGCAGCUCACGUUGCCUGGCAAACCAAAAGCCUUGGAUGAAGGUCAGCUUGCUUCGCAUGCUUUGGGAAGCCACUGGUUCUUCGUCCCACCCCCACCCGUAAUGUAGCAUUAAUAGCAAGAGUCUGUCUUUCAGGAUUGUUGUAAGAAUUAUUGAGAUGCUGUAUAAGCUAGCUAAGCAAUUGCAGAGAACUUAUCGUUCUACUAAAAUGAAAGGUACGGUUUGUUAUAAAAAGAAGCAUGUUAUGGUUUGUUAACCAACACUGCCUGUUCUAAUAAAAAACUCUGCGGUGA